CAGUAGCCGCGGGAAUACGGAGGGUGCAAGCGUUAAUCGGAAUUACUGGGAGUAAAGCGCACGCAGGCGGUCUGACAAGUCAGAUGUGAAAUCCCCGGGCUUAACCUGGGAACUGCAUUUGAAACUGUCAGGCUGGAGUCUUGUAGAGGGGGGUAGAAUUCCAGGUGUAGCGGUGAAAUGCGUAGAGAUCUGGAGGAAUACCGGUGGCGAAGGCGGCCCCCUGGACAAAGACUGACGCUCAGGUGCGAAAGCGUGGGGAGCAAACAGGAUUAGAUACCCGUGUAGUCCCUGUCUCUUAUAC
rnacentral:rRNA from 1 species